CCUACGGGAGGCAGCAGUGGGGAAUAUUGCACAAUGGGGGGAACCCUGAUGCAGCGACGCCGCGUGAGUGAAGAAGUAUUUCGGUAUGUAAAGCUCUAUCAGCAGGGAAGAAGAUGACGGUACCUGACUAAGAAGCCCCGGCUAACUACGUGCCAGCAGCCGCGGUAAUACGUAGGGGGCAAGCGUUAUCCGGAUUUACUGGGUGUAAAGGGAGCGUAGACGGCAGGGCAAGUCUGGAGUGAAAGCCCGGGGCUCAACCCCGGGACUGCUUUGGAAACUGGCAUGCUAGAGUGCUGGAGAGGUAAGCGGAAUUCCUAGUGUAGCGGUGAAAUGCGUAGAUAUUAGGAGGAACACCAGUGGCGAAGGCGGCUUACUGGACAGUAACUGACGUUGAGGCUCGAAAGCGUGGGGAGCAAACAGGAUUAGAUACCCCAGUAGUC
rnacentral:rRNA from 1 species